rnacentral:rRNA from 1 species
UGGGGAAUAUUGGGCAAUGGGGGAAACCCGUGACCCAGCAACGCCGCGUGGAGGAAGAAGGUUUUCGGUAUCGUAAACUCCUGUCCUCAGGGAAGAGAAGGAGACGGUACCUGCAGAAGAAGCCCCGGCUAACUACGUGCCAGCAGCCGCGGUAAUACGUAGGGGGCGAGCGUUAUCCGGAUUCAUUGGGCGUAAAGCGCGCGUAGGCGGCUCGCCAAGCGGGAUCUCAAACCUGAGGGCUCAACCCCCAGCAGGAUCCCGGACUGGCGGGCUCGAGUUCGGUAGGGGAAGGCGGAACUCCCAGUGUAGCGGUGAAAUGCGCAGAUAUUGGGAGGAACACCGAUGGCGAAGGCAGCCUUCUGGGCCGUAACUGACGCUGAGGUGCGAAAGCUAGGGAGCGAACAGGAUUAGAUACCCUGGUAGU